GUACAGUGUUGGAUGGUCUUUGUGAAGCUCCUAACACUGUCUGGUAAAGAUGGCCCCCGGGUUGGUUCUUUCAGCAAUGACUUUCCUGGAGCUCUGAAGACCAUGGAGGCCUCCUGAUUGACAAGCUAUGAACCUUUCCCCUUUUGAUGAGGGUGUAAAUGAUUAGGAAAAGGGGAACAAUGGAAAGGGAAACAAAAUGGCUGCCCCUGGUGCAGCAGCAAGAUUUGGAAAUAUACUUAUUCCCCAUUCCCCAGAUACCUCCAUUGUCCUCCCACUUUGGGAACUUGAAAGAAAUGAAGUGUGAAUGGUAACAGGUGGAUGACUAAUCCAGGUCCCUUGACCUUUUUUUUUUGAAUCUUUUUUAGAAAAACUUUUAUUCGUAAGUUUUAGGUGGUCACAAUAUCUUUACACUUAUAUGGUGCUGAGAAUUGAACACAGUGCCUCCUGCAUGCUAGGAAGGCACUCUACCACUGACCCAUACCAGCUCCUCCCUUGACCUUUUAUCCGUAAAUCUUACCUUAGGGAGAGUGGCUGCUACUUCAACUUCACCUCCCUUUCCUUUCUCGACAUUUAACCCUCAGGGCAUGGAGAAAUUGUCUACUUCUUUCAAAACCCUAAAGGCUGAAGACCCGCCCCUUUUGACCCUAUUAAAGUUUACUUUCUCCUCUA
rnacentral:lncRNA from 1 species